GCCUUCGUGGUGUAAUGGUCAGCACACUCGGCGCGUAUUCGAGAGGCCCGAAGUUCAAAUCCCGGUGAGGGCA
rfam:Stegodyphus mimosarum contig126373, whole genome shotgun sequence.